AAGCCAGCGCAAGUAAGACCGACUUCUAAUCGGACUUAGGUUAUUAAUUUUACCCUGGCUUU
rnacentral:tRNA from 1 species